GACGAACGCUGGCGGCGUGCUUAACACAUGCAAGUCGAACGGAAAGGCCCUGCUUUUGUGGGGUGCUCGAGUGGCGAACGGGUGAGUAACACGUGAGUAACCUGCCCUUGACUUUGGGAUAACUUCAGGAAACUGGGGCUAAUACCGGAUAGGAGCUCCUGCUGCAUGGUGGGGGUUGGAAAGUUUCGGCGGUUGGGGAUGGACUCGCGGCUUAUCAGCUUGUUGGUGGGGUAGUGGCUUACCAAGGCUUUGACGGGUAGCCGGCCUGAGAGGGUGACCGGCCAAAUUGGGACUGAGAUACGGCCCAGACUCCUACGGGAGGCAGCCGUGGGGAAUAUUGCACAAUGGGCGGAAGCCUGAUGCAGCAACGCCGCGUGCGGGAUGACGGCCUUCGGGUUGUAAACCGCUUUCGCCUGUGACGAAGCGUGAGUGACGGUAAUGGGUAAAGAAGCACCGGCUAACUACGUG
rnacentral:rRNA from 1 species